rnacentral:rRNA from 1 species
GCAGUCGAACGGUAACAGGUCUUCGGAUGCUGACGAGUGGCGAACGGGUGAGUAAUACAUCGGAACGUGCCCGAUCGUGGGGGAUAACGAAGCGAAAGCUUUGCUAAUACCGCAUACGAUCUACGGAUGAAAGCAGGGGACCGCAAGGCCUUGCGCGAACGGAGCGGCCGAUGGCAGAUUAGGUAGUUGGUGGGAUAAAAGCUUACCAAGCCGACGAUCUGUAGCUGGUCUGAGAGGACGACCAGCCACACUGGGACUGAGACACGGCCCAGACUCCUACGGGAGGCAGCAGUGGGGAAUUUUGGACAAUGGGCGCAAGCCUGAUCCAGCCAUGCCGCGUGCAGGAUGAAGGCCUUCGGGUUGUAAACUGCUUUUGUACGGAACGAAAAGACUCUGGUUAAUACCUGGGGUCCAUGACGGUACCGUAAGAAUAAGCACCGGCUAACUACGUGCCAGCAGCCGCGGUAAUACGUAGGGUGCGAGCGUUAAUCGGAAUUACUGGGCGUAAAGCGUGCGCAGGCGGUUAUAUAAGACAGAUGUGAAAUCCCCGGGCUCAACCUGGGAACUGCAUUUGUGACUGUAUAGCUAGAGUACGGCAGAGGGGGAUGGAAUUCCGCGUGUAGCAGUGAAAUGCGUAGAUAUGCGGAGGAACAC